UGUAAGUAAAUUGUGAACAAGCAGGUCACGUGACAAAUCUGUAUUACUGCUUUAUUUACAGUAAUUUGCAGGCAGAAUCUGAACACUGUUCUUUAAAAGUAUUCUGUUAUUGGACUCCUGAUACAAAUUUUGUUACCCAUUACAGAAUGCAGACAAUGGCAAAAGUGUGGUAUGGUCCAGAGGACGAUUGCUGGAUCCUGAAACAGCAAAUGGCAUCCUGGAUCAUGUGUCUGAAUUUCUGGAUGCUUUGGAAACAUUGCCCCAACAGGAUGUUCUCCAGGCUUAUAGUGCUCCAUUGGAAAGGGGUUCAUCUGGUCGUCCACAAUUAUCUAUCACACGAGCAGUUGCAGUUUCUGCUAAAAUAUAAUUUUUCGACAAAACAAAUGGCAGAAAUCUUGGGAGUCUCCAAACGAACUGUGAAGCGGCGUUUAAGGCAAUUCAGAUAAACUGAUAUGUCUGAUUCUGAUCUUGAAACGAUGAGCUUGGGGCAGAAUCAGUAAGAGCACGUCUGGCAGGUCAAGGGUUAAUAGUGCAGCGUCACAGAGUGCGACAAAGUUUGAUCAGGACCAAUCCAGUGGGAGCAGCUCAGAGAGUCACAACACGCAGGCUACACAGCGGAGUCUACAAAGUUGCCGGGCCAAACGCAUGGCAUUUGGAUGGCAAUCAUAAGUUAAUCAGGAGGCGAAUUGGAAUACACGGCGGCAUAGACGGCUACAGCAGACGACUUGUUUUCUUAAAGGCUUCAGACAACAAUCGCAGCAACACAGUUUUCGAGAGCUUUGUGGAUGCUAUUGGCAAACAUGGAAUACCUUCAAGAGUUUGCUGUGAUAAUGGAGGGGAGAACAAUUCAGUCUGUCUAUUUAUAAAUGUGUUCCGAGGCUCAACAAGAGGAAGUGCUAUGAGAGGAAGGAGCACGCACAAUCAAAGGAUUGAAAGAUUGUGGGGUGAUGUUUGGCGGGGCAUCACCAAUACUUAUUCCUUAUUCACGCUUUAGGCGAGUAAGGGUAAAAUUGACACUAACAAUUAAAUGCAUCUCUGGGCAUUACAUUAUGUGUAUAUAUAUAUAUAUAUAUAUACCUAGAAUCAACAGGGAUCUCCAACUGUUCAUUAAUCAAUGGAACCACCACAAGCUGAGGACUGAACGACACAUGUCUCCACACCAGAUCUUUAUUCGAGGGUGUCUGUUACAGCAAACUCAAAACCAGACUGGCAUACGUGGAGUUAUUGGAAUGUUCUCAACAUUCCGCAACAAUCCAUUAAAAUAUUUACCAUGUGUAUUGAAAACAUUCAAAUGAAGUCAAAACAGAACUAUUAAAACAUUGCACAUUUAUGUAAAAUUGCAUGACACUGGAUCACCUUAACCUCUUAAAACCUGGCGUGUCCACAUGUGGACAUCACAUUUUUGUUGUUUGCACCUUAAUACUUAAUUUGUGUAACUGGAACCUGUUUUACACAAAUGUAGACAAUUACACUGCUUCAUGUUCAAAGAAAAACAUUUGGUUCUUAUUUAUUGGUUCUUCCUAACCCCAAAUAGCUAGAAAUUUGAAAUAAAGACAAACCAAAGCUCAGAUCUUGGGUUAAUGAUUACCUUAACUUUGUAAAUUGAGGU